CGGUGUGUGGGAGAGAGGCUGAAUCCAUCUGGUUGUAACCCAGAAGCCGCAAGGCCACGCUAGUUCAAAUCUAGCCGCACCGA
rnacentral:tRNA from 1 species